AGCUUUGCACAGUGGCAGUAUCGUAGCCAAUGGGGUUUAUCUGAGCAUGAUUAUUGCUAAUUAAAAUCUUACCCAG
rnacentral:snRNA from 1 species